AGAAUAUGAAAAAAGUCGCGAGUUUGCUUUACUCUUUCAAAAUGGUGGUAAUGGAAAUCAGACACAGAAGAAGAAAUUACGUGAUCGCUCAAAAAAAAUAAUGGACGCAAUGGAUCUUUUUGAAAGAGGUGAAAUAGAUAUACAGGGAUUUCUGACAUGCACUGUUUCCUUAGCUGACCGCUUUUCAAAGCAGGACUUCUUUGAAGGGGUGGACAAUGAAAGCAAUUUAACUGGAAUGUCUUCUGAUAUGAAAUCUUCCACAUCGUCACUUUCAUCGAAUGCUUCUCAUUCAAGUCAGUCAUCUGAUAAAUCAUUGGUUCAAAUGAAUCCAUGCAAUGUGUGCCUAUGUAACCCAAAGUCUGUGUUGUUGCGCCCGUGCAAUCACGUAAACAUUUGUGGUACAUGUUGGGAUCAAAUUGUGGC